rnacentral:rRNA from 1 species
AGUGAACGCUGGCGGUAGGCCUAACACAUGCAAGUCGAACGGCAGCACAGUAAGAGCUUGCUCUUACGGGUGGCGAGUGGCGGACGGGUGAGGAAUACAUCGGAAUCUACUUUUUCGUGGGGGAUAACGUAGGGAAACUUACGCUAAUACCGCAUACGACCUACGGGUGAAAGCAGGGGAUCUUCGGACCUUGCGCGAUUGAAUGAGCCGAUGUCGGAUUAGCUAGUUGGCGGGGUAAAGGCCCACCAAGGCGACGAUCCGUAGCUGGUCUGAGAGGAUGAUCAGCCACCCUGGAACUGAGACACGGUCCAGACUCCUACGGGAGGCAGCAGUGGGGAAUAUUGGACAAUGGGCGCAAGCCUGAUCCAGCCAUCCCGCGUGGGUGAAGAAGGCCUUCGGGUUGUAAAGCCCUUUUGUUGGGAAAGAAAAGCAGCAGGUUAAUACCCCGCUGUUCUGACGGUACCCAACGAAUAAGCACCGGCUAACUUCGUG